CAGGCACUCCAUUGCUUGGGAACUGUGGGAGGAAGACCAAGGCUAUUCCAUAAAGAGCUUUGGCUUUUCCAAAAAAAGAACUCUAAUUCUUUCACAAAUGCAAUGUUUUCUUGUUUGCAUGGAAAAAUCAAUGUAAACUUGGGAAAAUCUCUAUCGACUUUCCUUCCAUCAUUCAGUUUAACACUCUUGGCUCACUCCCUCUUUUUUUUUUUCUAAAUCCAGUAUUUGUAGGAAUUUUGCAGCCAAACAAUAACAAUGAGGGGAGAUGAGCAGAGCUGUUCAAGUCACCCUGGAGUCCUCAGUGAUCUUUCACUCAGUCUGGAAAACUGUGAUGGUCCAAAUGCCAUGUUGGAAGGUUCAGCUUAAGAAAAUUCCUCAGUACUGAGAGUCAACUUUUAUCUGAUGCACAAACUGGAAUAGGAAUGAUGGUUCACUUGGCUGCUGGGCAGCAGCUCUGGCUUUGGCUCUGCAGGAGCUGUGGUGAGUUCUGGGGCAAGGUAAAAGCUUCUGUAUGGUGCCUUUGAGGACCUGCAGUGCAGGCUCAGCUCAGUCUUGUACCACAUAGGGCAGCUGCUGCGUGGCUGUUACAGGCUUCUAAUUAGGCUGUGUGGGGCCAUAUUGUUUUAAGUAAUGAUACUGAAGAUUUGGGGGGGUUGAAGUGGGAUAAAUUAAAAUCUCAGUUGUUUGACUAAAUUUAGUUUUCUAAAUGAUGCGAAGCACACAGAUACUGGCUUCUUUGGCACCAGUGUGAGCCCUAGAAUUUGCAGGAAGGGUGGUCGUGUCCAGACCUCUCACCCACUCAGCUUUCUCCUGGAAAGUGUCACGAAGUGCCUGUACCACUCAGUGCCUGUACCCAGCCCCAAGUUGUCUUCACCACUCUUGGGAGGGUUUUGGUGCUUUUCUUGACCACUCAGUGUCCUCUUUCACGCUGGAUUAAGCGUGCAGCACUCCAAGGCAAGUGCCUGCAUGUCAGGUGUGCCUUACUGUGCAGAAAACUUCCCAAAGAAAUAAAUGUGAACACCAGGCGUGUGCGGUGGCAAGCGGCAUCACAGAGCUCAGUGCCUCGGUGUGCUGAGGGCAGCAGGAGCUCUGCCUGGUGACAAUUGUCCCUUCUCCCACUGUCCCCCCUGCCUGAUGACGCUGUAAAUCCCUCAUGUGUGACGGGCGAGCUGUGGCUGCUGUUGCAGAGGUCAUUGCCCUGUUUGUCUGCUGAAGGUGGAAUGGCUGCGUGGAGCAGAUCCACGGCCCCAGCGAGGUGUGUCACAAACCAGCAGCUCCUGCGUGGACGCCCAGAUGCCGUGAGCUUUCCUGUUGCCUUUCACUGCGGAAAGAACCUCCCGGGAAGCCCUUGGGAUCGGGGAUCUUCCGGCACUCGAUGUUAUUUUUGGUUGCCCAGUUUCCGGUGCUGGGUUGGAACGGUUUGGAAGCGACUCCGGUCUCAUCGGUCAUUCUCCUCAUGGGACUGUGUUGAGAAGUGUCCCAUUCUGUGCCUUGCCUUUUGACUCCUGGCUUUACUCUAAGGACUGUCCUGUCAGAUGAGGUAGGACCCAUUGUAAUUAGUCUGUAAUGUUCAAGUUAGAGUGUACAGAAUUAUUUAUUUGGUGUACUCGGUCUUCUAAAACAUGUCCAUGUAUUCUGUGUA